UAAAAUUGUUCAUCAGGUCAAGAUCUAUCUGCCCUGAAAUUUUCAGAUGAAUCAGACAUUCCGUUGUUGGGUUGCUGCCCCUGAAAUGGUAAUUUUAAGGAAAUUUUGCUGUUUUUGGUUGUUAUCUUGAAUAUUAUUAUAGAUAGAGAUAAACUGUAAACAGCAAUAAUGUUCAGCAAAGUAAGAUCUACAAAUAAGUCAUCAUGACCAAAAUGGUCAGUUGACCACUUUAGGAGUUAUUGCCCUUUAUAGUCAAUUUUUAACCAUUUUUCAUAAAUCUUAGUAAUCUUUUAGAAAAAUCUUCUCCUCUGAAACUACUGGGCCAAAUUUAACCAAACUUAGCCA
rnacentral:lncRNA from 1 species